rnacentral:tRNA from 1 species
GGGGCUUGGAGCGACCUGAAGCCCAAUUGUUUUUUUAACCAAUUGGUCGUAGGUUCGAAUCCCACACGACCCACCA